rnacentral:rRNA from 1 species
UACGUAGGGUGCAAGCGUUGUCCGGAAUUAUUGGGCGUAAAGAGCUCGUAGGCGGUCUGUCGCGUCUGCUGUGAAAUCUCAGGGCUUAACCCUGAGCGUGCAGUGGGUACGGGCAGACUAGAGUGCGGUAGGGGAGACUGGAAUUCCUGGUGUAGCGGUGAAAUGCGCAGAUAUCGGAAGGAACACCGAUGGCGAAAGCAGCGCGCUGGACCUUUACUGACGCUGAGGCGCGAAAGCCAGGGGAGCAAACGGG